rnacentral:rRNA from 1 species
AUACGGAGGAUGCAAGCGUUAUCCGGAUUUAUUGGGUUUAAAGGGUGCGUAGGCGGUUUGCUAAGCUGGAGGUGAAAUGCCGGCGCUCAACGUCGGAAGUGCCUCCCGAACUGGUGGACUGGAAUGACUCUGCCGUGGGAGGAAUGUGUAGUGUAGCGGUGAAAUGCUUAGAGAUUACACAGAACACCGAUUGCGAAGGCAUCUCACGAAGGGUUGAUUGACGCUGAGGCACGAAAGCGUGGGGAUCAAACAGGAUUAGAUACCCUGGUAGUCCACGCAGUAAACGAUGAUGGCUAACCGCUGGUUUAUUCGGAUCAGUGGCCAAGCGAAAGCGAUAAGCCAUCCACCUGGGGAGUACGACCGCAAGGUUGAAACUCAAAUGAAUUGACGGGG